CAUAGCGACUAUCGUGGCAUAUCAAUAAGCGGAGGAAAAGAAACUAACAAGGAUUCCCCUAGUAACGGCGAGUGAAGCGGGAAGAGCUCAAAUUUGAAAUCUUAAAGGGUUUCCCUUUACGAAUUGUAGUUUAAAGAAGUGUUUUCUGUUGGAGUUUCGGUAAAAGUUCUUUGGAAUAGGACACCAUAGAGGGUGAGAAUCCCGUAUUUGACCGUUACUUUCCAGCUGUGUGAUACACUUUCAAAGAGUCGGAUUGUUUGGGAAUGCAGUCCAAGAUGGGUGGUAAAUUUCAUCUAAAGCUAAAUAUUGGCGAGAGACCGAUAGCGAACAAGUACCGUGAGGGAAAGAUGAAAAGAACUUUGAAAAGAGAGUUAAACAGUACGUGAAAUUGUCAAAAGGGAAGCGUUUGACACCAGUGUUGUUUUCUCGAAAAUCAAUUAAAAAAGGCCGGAUUUUGUGUUGUAUUGACCUUAAAAGCUUUCUACACUCUUUUCUUGUCUUUUUUAAUGCACUUUUCGUUUAACAAGUCAACAUCAGUUUCUUUUGUUGUAAAAGGGUCAUUGGAAGGUGGCUUUCUUUUCGGAGAAAGUGUUUAUAGCCUUUGAUCUCUGCAACCGGAGAGACUGAGGUCUGCAGCGUAGACUCUUCGGGGUUAAAUACAUUUGUGCUAAGCUAUAGCUUUUUAUAGACAACUUGUUGACUAUGUUUAGUCUUGUAGCUUACUCGCUUAUGCUAUUUUACCUACGCUUAGGAUGUUGAUAGUCACAGCGUGUAC
rnacentral:rRNA from 1 species